UGCUCGAUCACCAUCUCCUCCAUCCCUUGGCUACCUGCCUACCAGAACAAGCACCAACAACCUCUGAUCAUGGUUUCAAAUCGCGGUCGCGGGUAACGGAAACAGGCCUGCAUAAAUUUUUUUAGAAAAUUUAUAAAGUCCAUGAAAUUAAAAUAUAUUGAAAGAUAUAACGAAAAUUAAGUUAUACAACUUAUAAACAAGUACAAAUAUAUUGAAUAAACAUAAAAUACAUAAAAUUUAAACAUUAUAUGUAGUAACUUACCUCAAUUACCACCAGAAUGAGCGUCUAGCAGGUUCUUGAGUAGAUCCACCACCUUCAUCUUGUGAUUGAGAGUUUUGAUCUUGAUGAUAUUGAUAGUAUUGAGAUGGAUCAAAGCUGAAGAAUGAACCCAUACCAAAUUGAUCACUAGGAUUGGACUGGGUUUGAGUGUGGGAGAAUGAUUGCUCUGACAAAGAUAAAUCAGAAUACGAUGGAGGAGGCUGAUAUGGAUAUGGAUUUGAGUAUUCCCAUUGAAAAUUUCCUCUAUAUCCAUAAUCACUAGUAGAGGUUGCUUCCAUUGAAGAUUCACUUGCACCAUAAGUUCCAUAUCCAUAAUUAUCUGCAUCCAUAGAACACUCUCCAUGUGCAACACAUUUUCCCUUAUCACUGCUACCACCAGAACUACGGGAUCUGUGAUAUGUAUGUUGCAAAGUUGGAGCUGGAGCUGGAGCUGGAGAUGGAGAUGGACUAUGCCUCUGAUAUGAAGAGGGAUCAUCAUGUGAUUGUAAUGAACUAGUAGCUCCACGACCUUCACCUCUUCCACCCUGACCACUACCACCAUCAUCAUCACUAGAACUAGAUAGUAUAAAAGAAUCUUCAGGUUCAGCAUCACCACUACCUCCAAUAUUAUGUCCAUGAGUUGGAGCAUUAACUUGUUGUGAUUGUGAUGGAGCGGGCUCAUCCUCCUCUAGCCAAGGAUUUUCUUCACCAUCAAGUACAGGAUCUUCCCUUUCCUCCAACUAAGGAUUUAGUGGAUCAUCUUCCUCGAAAAUGUAAUCCAAAUUAAUUGGAUUAUAACUCUUUUAUAGCUCAUGCUGACUCUUUCUGCUCAAAUUUCUCAACUUCAGCCGCAUAUUGUAGUGAACAAAGACGAGUACAUGCAAUUUUUGAUACCGUAAUCUGUUCCUCGUCUUUGUAUAUAUAAGUGAAAAAGUGCUCCAAUUUAUUUCACAAUUAGAUGCAGAAGUGGUUUGACUCAACACUCUUACUGCAAUUCUCUGUAGUUCAGGAGCACUUUCACCAUAAUGUAUCCACCAUUCAGCUGCAUUAAAACAUAUAAUAAUUUUAAUAAUAUAGGUUAUUUUCUCAAAUAUUUGAUUUUAUAUUUUAGAACACUAAAAAUAUAACAUAAUGUGUAAAUCUUAUAUUUUUACCUGGAUCAGUGAAUUUAAUGGCUUUUUGUGCUAAGGCGGACCCAAAACUCUCCAUUUUAUGCUUAUAAAGUUGUGUCUACACCAAUAAAAAAAAUUAUUUGCUUUAUUAUACUGCUAAAAUUAUUUAUUAAAAUUAUUCAAGUUAGCUAUAUAUUAUAUACUUACUUGGUUCAAUGCAUUGGCUUGAUUUACCAAAUCACUCUCUAGCCUUUGAAUAACAUUUUUAAGGCCUGCC
rnacentral:lncRNA from 1 species